rnacentral:rRNA from 1 species
AUGAGCAUGCGCGAUCUGGUGGCCGGUCGGGCCGGCUGUGCGGCGGCGGGAUCGUCCUCGUCGGCCAACCCCCUCACCGCCCUCGCCGACGCCGUGCUCGGCUCCUCCAAAUCUGAGCAGCAGAUAAAGGAACUUUCAGGAUCAGCAGUUCGCGGGAAAGCUUCUUUUGAUUCGAUGCCCAUUCCUUUAUCAACACUUCCAGGCUCCGAGGAUGAGAUCAAGCUAGGUCAGGGACCUAUUAGAAGCAUGAAGGGCACCGACUUCAUUAAUGGGUGUCAUGGAGACGCCUGUGGCGAUAAUUUUCAAGCCUCAAUCCCUUCUGUUCCUGAACACAUAGUGGUCGAGCCUCACCUUGGAGAGCCAGAGCAAGUUGAUAGCGCUACUCGCCUGCAUUUCAAGCCCAAAUUUGAAGGUCCACCAGAGAUGGCUGCUCAAGCUUUCUUGCCUCAAAGUUCAUUUGAACCAUACAGUAUACCGGAAAAUGGACCAGAAGAAUAUUCAGGAGGAAAGGAUGGAUUGCUGGAUCAUAUAGAUGGUCUUUAUGAUGAUGAAAUGAGAUCCUCUGGAAACAUAAGCACCGAAGUCGAUAGUUGGCUGUCUGCGUUUGAACAGGGAAUACAUCCUCGAGUCAUGAGCGACGACGAGCUGGCAGGUGAUGGCUGGUUGUCAUUCCUGCGGAUUGCCAUCAGCCACCUGGGUGGAUUUUCCCAACCAAGGUUUCUGGAAGAGCUGAUCACCUGUCAGGAUCAGGUUACUGGGCAUCGAGUAUGGAUCAAGCUACAGCAACGCUCUGGCUGGUCGGUUAAAUUGGAAGCUACGCGCCACCACCUCUUCGACGCCCUGCAGGACGCGGCGAUGCUGGCCGUUAUUACCAUGAGGCAGCAUUUCCCUUGCGAGUUCGGAGGCACUCCGUUUGAAGUUCUGCCUGUGGCACCUAGGCAGAGGAGCAGGCGGCUAGACGACGGUGCCGCGGUCAUCCGCGGCGGUGCUGUGGCUUCCGCUUUUAUGGGGAUCAAUCACGAUGAUGUCCAAGGUCUUCUCGCGGUCGGCUUCAUGUCCCUUUUCCAUGAGCGUUCCAAGUCUUUGCAACGUUUGAAGGAGCACGCGUUGAAGGAGCGGCUCCUGAUCACGGAGAUAGAGAAGAUGGUGGAAGAGCUCGAUGGUUCCCCAACCCAAACACAGGAGUUGGAUCGAAGAAUUGAGGAGCUAAAAAAGAUGGCCGGAGAGAUGCAUCGACUUCAUGCCCAUGCUGUCAAAGGAUGCAUCGGUUGGUUUGUGUUCGUCACAAACGAGGCGCAGCAGGAGAUGAAGCCAUCGGACGAUGGGAAUGAGGUUGCAAGCUCCCCAGCAGUAUCGGUCAGGGCCAGGCUGUGA